rnacentral:rRNA from 1 species
GACGAACGCUGGCGGCGUGCUUAACACAUGCAAGUCGAGCGGAGCGGCGAACGGGUGCGUAACGCGUGAGUAACUGCCCCCCUCCCUGGGAUAACAGUUGGAAAAGGCUGCUAAUACCGGAUUGUGGGGGAUGACUCGCGUCCUAUCAGCUUGUUGGUGGGGUGGUGGCCUACGAAUGCGACGACGUGUAGCCGGCCUGGGAGGGCGACCGGCCCCAUUGGGCUUGGAUACGGCCCAAACGCCUACGGGGGGCAGCAAGGGGGAGUAUUGCACGAGUGGGGAAACCCUGAUGCAGCAACGCGCGUGCGAGAUGCCUGUCUUCGGGUUGUAAACCGCGUUCAGCCAUGACGCGGUAGUGGCAGAAGAAGCACCGGCUAACUACGUGCCAGCAGCCGCGGUAAUAC